GCGGGAAGAGCUCAAAUUUAUAAUCUGGCACCUUCGGUGUCCGAGUUGUAAUCUCUAGAAAUGUUUUCCGCGUUGGACCGCACACAAGUCUGUUGGAAUACAGCGGCAUAGUGGUGAGACCCCCGUAUAUGGUGCGGACGCCCAGCGCUUUGUGAUACAUUUUCGAAGAGUCGAGUUGUUUGGGAAUGCAGCUCAAAUUGGGUGGUAAAUUCCAUCUAAAGCUAAAUAUUGGCGAGAGACCGAUAGCGAACAAGUACCGUGAGGGAAAGAUGAAAAGCACUUUGGAAAGAGAGUUAACAGUACGUGAAAUUGUUGGAAGGGAAACGCUUGAAGUCAGACUUGCUUGCCGAGCAAUCGGUUUGCAGGCCAGCAUCAGUUUUCCGGGAUGGAUAAUGGUAGAGAGAAGGUAGCAGUUUCGGCUGUGUUAUAGCUCUCUGCUGGAUACAUCUUGGGGGACUGAGGAACGCAGUGUGCCUUUGGCGGGGGUUUCCACCUCUUCACACUUAAGAUGCUGGUGGAAUGGCUUUAAACGAC
rnacentral:rRNA from 1 species